AAUAGUCCCACAUCGGAAAGACUUGUUCCAGAGCCUGGGCAUAUGAGGCGGGUAUCUCCAAAUCCUGCAGACGCGUUUUGGGUGGAAAAUAAAACCGGAGAGGGGUGAAGGACGCUUGCAUGAAGCCCCAGAACCGGACAAUAUCUGGCAGGGGAGCCCCGUGUUCCCCCCCUCAUGUGGCCCCCACGUGGGCACUAAGUGCCUCACGUGCCUCGCAGAGGCGGGGGCGUGACAUUUGGUAUCAGAGCCGAGGACGGCUCUUGUCCGAUGGUGGAAAGGGUGUGAGGCCCAAUAGUCC
rnacentral:lncRNA from 1 species